rnacentral:rRNA from 1 species
UACGUAGGGUGCAAGCGUUGUCCGGAAUUAUUGGGCGUAAAGAGCUCGUAGGCGGUUUGUUGCGUCGGCUGUGAAAUCCCGAGGCUCAACCUCGGGUCUGCAGUCGAUACGAGCAAACUAGAGUGUUGCAGGGGAGACUGGAAUUCCUGGUGUAGCGGUGAAAUUCGUAGAUAUCGGGAGGAACACCAGUGGCGAAGGCGGCGACCUGGGCCAAUAUUGACGCUGAGGUGCGAAAGCGUGGGGAGCAAACAGG